UCACCGGUCUCGAACUCGGAGGGAGCAUGGUGGUGCUUAGUAGCGAGGGUGAUUUCUGAAACGGCAGCGGAGAGAGGAGGCGUGAAGAGUUUGAGGUGGUGAUGAAGUUUUGUCAAAGCAAAGCCCUCGCAUCAUCGCAGUGCUCAUCCUCUUGUCCGGUUACGUUUUAAAACUCCUGAAGCAGAUGGCAAAGGAAGCUAGCGGUGGUGGUGGAGGUGAAGCCGAGCAAGAAGAAGAAGAGAGGUGGAGAAAGAGAGAUGACAAAGACACAAAAGGAAGAAGAGGGUGCGGCGAGGUGGAUGGGAGAAGACAACACAUGCGGCUGAGAAGAUUAGAUUUAGGUUUAUUUUUUAAUUUGGGUUUAGGCUUCUUUUUAAUUUUGGGUUUCGUUUUUGUAAUACAAUUUUAAUUAAUAAAUUAAUUUUAAUUAUAAA